GAGCUCGGAUGGAAUCCGAAAGGUGGUCGACCAUCGUAGAAACUUGGAUGGAGUCUGGUUACUGUAGAAAUCCCAUUGUCGGAGAAGCUCGAACACUGACGAAGUUCGAAAGAAGUUCGGAGUAGAGUCAUCCAUGGUCGGAAGAAGUCUGAAAGGAAUUCGAAGAAUAGUCGAUCAUCAUAGAAAAUUAGCUAAUAGCAGAGUUCAGAGAGCAUUUGGAGUAGUCCGGUAGAUGAAUGGAGAAGCUCAUUAUCGAAGAAGUUCGGAUGGUAAUAUGGAAGCUC
rnacentral:lncRNA from 1 species